AGGCGGACCGCCGCCUCCUUCACUGGGAGGUCCGGGUAUGUGUGGGAUGAGUCAUGAAGUUAUUACACCGUCAGUUUCAUUGUCCUGGGCAGCAAUGUUUGUUGGAAGUACUUAUGUGUUUUUUUAAUGUAUUUUUUUCAGGACCAGUUGGCUCGUGGCCUGAUUCCUGUAAGUAUUUCUCCAGGUUUUUUUAAAUUUAUAUAUAUUUAUAAAAAAGAAAGCUGACACUUGCAAGACUUUAUCAAAGGUGUAAACAUCACAGCAGAUGUCUUUGUGUCAACUGGGGAUAAAACACAAAAACAUGAAGGAGAUUUUCCUGCCCUGGUUUUUUUUUUUUUUAAACAAACAACCUUAAAAAUAUUCUGCAGUAGAACAAAAACUGGAGAAAACCAUGAAUCAACAAGCGAACAUUACCUGAUGCUGCUGAAUUGAAGCAGAGCAAAGUACAGCUAAGCAGUAUGCAAUUUUGCAUCAUUUUAAAAAGUUUGCUCAGCAUUGAACAGUAAUAACGUCCCACAGUGCUGUAAACAAUGUUAGACUGGUGGGUAAUAAGCAAGAGAAUAAUGCAGAAAACAGAUUUUUAGAUGGGAAACUCUUCCUCAGAGAGAGAGCUCUGCAUGAAGUGUGAUUUUAUCGUGGUGGAAGAAAAACAGCCACAGUAAGAGGGAAUAAAUGACGAUGUUUAUGUGAAGCGAAAUAUUGGGGUCUACUUUAUAUUCCAGCUCUAAAGUCAAUGUCGUCUUCACUCAUGAAGAUUUUUACUGUCCUGGGGACAGGAGAGAGGAGUCUCAUCAGAGGAGCUAUAAUUUUAUAGCUUGCAAAAGUAGAAACAAAUAAGUGUUCAUUUGAAUUCUUGUCUUAGUGAUUGAAAAUGGUCUCACUUUCUGCCCUUCACUGUUUGUAUCUAAGGCUAAAAAACUACCUUAUCUAAAUUAAAAGUGAUUCUAAAUAUUACAUAUUUAGUUGUGUGUGUGCAUGCACAUAUUUUAUGUAUACAGAUUUCUUUUCAACUAUUACUCAUGAUAUAACAGUGUGCAGACAGGCCCUUUGAGGACAUGAGGAGGAAACGGUGAUAAAAGGUGUGUGAGGCUGCUACAGGCUGUGGAUCCCUCACCAGCUGGAAUAAAAAGAGCACAGCUAACAAUAACACGUGUACCAGUUGUUCCUGUUCUGUGCUUUUUCCUUCACCCCGAGUACCAACAGGGCCAUAAGGCGUGUCAGCCGCACAGGGCUUCAGAUUCCCAGCAGUGAGUGAGGAAAUAGGAGGAGGCUACAAAGCUCAGAGUAACUUGGGUUAGAGAACCUGGAGCUGGUGGAGUCAUAGCUGCCUUUGUUCAACACCAUCUUCUCAUCUGGCUUGCAGGCCAUAACAGCAUCCACAGGCGAGGUUAAUUCUACAGUGAUCAUUUCCACUGAGUUCAAGAAGGAGUGAAAGUAUUCACUGGGGAACCCGCUCUGCAAGAGAGAAGUCACAGAACAGAAGAAGGGCUUAGAAAGAUUGGAAAUAUACAAGAUAUUCAACCUGCACUUUAAUGGAAUCAGUUAAAUAGGUGAGCAUCAGGUGUUUGGGGUGCUUCACUCAUACUUGACUGAAUUUGAAUUGCUUGGAUCAUGAAGGUCAUAAGUCUGUGACUGGAUCAGUGAGUCACUUUGUCUGUCUGGUUACACCUCCCACAGAGUUCACAUCUACCUGCAAUACUCUGUCUUUUUAUGGUACAUGUUGUGUUGCUCAACUUUUUGCACUGAGCUUAUUUUUGCUUUUAGACUCCUUAAACUCUCUGUAGCUUCCUGCUACUUUACAGAGUUUUUUUUCAAAUGAAUAUUUUUAGACAUGAACAUUAGAGCUUGAUGCAGUCUACCUCUGUGGUUAUACGGUGAGCCUUGUUCCCAGCAGGCAACAGGUUAACAGAAAAUAUUGUGAAGUGACUGUUGUUGUUAAAUGGUGCUGCAUUAAUAAAACUGUACUGAACUGAAAUAAAAUCGUUGUAUAAUAAACUUCCCCAUGAACUUCUCCAGCAUCUGAUUUUAACACUGUGAUGAAGCACUCUACUCUUAACCCUAACCCAGCGCUCCAGCCCCUACCGGUCCAUGAGUCACUUGAAUUUUACAGUGUUUAUUUAUCAGAAAAAACAAGUUAAAUUAAAUAGCUGUCCAGUACCUGUGCAACAGAUGGUAGUGAUGGUUCAACAGAAACAUCCUAUAC
ensembl:lncRNA